UACGGAGGGUGCAAGCGUUGUCCGGAAUCAUUGGGUGUAAAGGGUGCGUAGGCGGACUGUCAAGUCAGAGGUGAAAGCCCGGGGCUCAACUCCGGAAUUGCCUUUGAUACUGAUAGUCUUGAAUAUAGUUGAGGUAGGCGGAAUGUAACGUGUAGCGGUGAAAUGCAUAGAUAUGUUACAGAACACCGAUUGCGAAGGCAGCUUACUAAGCUAUUAUUGACGCUGAUGCACGAAAGCGUGGGGAGCGAACAGG
rnacentral:misc_RNA from 1 species